rnacentral:lncRNA from 1 species
GGUAAAGGCUCUCUCCAUCUUGUCUGGGUGCUCGGCCUGGGCCUCCACAGCCUGACCACUGUUGAUGAGGACUUGCUGGGGGACUGACUCAUCCUGCUGACUCACCUCCUCAGAGGAAUUCACACUUUCUGACCGCAUGCCCACUGGCCAGGCAGCUGACCAGAUGCACGCCAGGUGGCUCAGGAUCAAAAGCAUGCCACCCAUACUUCACCAGGGGUGUAAUGGACAAGGGUCGCCACAGAGGCGCUUCAGAUAAAUGGAAGCUGGAAACAGACUGCUUCCUGUGAGGCUGGUGAAACGGCACCACCUCCUGUCUCCUCUACCGAAUACUUUGUCCCCCAGGCACCCUUGCAGUCAGGCUUCACCUUCAUUGUCCUCCUUUACCAAGAACGAAGGAAAAGUUUCCAUCUGUAGAGCAUGAAAACAAACAUAGGUGGGUAGGAAAGUCAAGCAUCCUUGUCUCAGCAGUGUCCCUCAGUGGCCACAGGCUGGCCUCAAACUGCCCAUUCUCUUGCCUCAGCCAUGACUUAGACUCUUGCAACCUCAGCUUCCUCAGCCGAUGGAUGGAUGGGCUUGGUGAAGCCUAUUUCCUGAGUCGUGAUGAGUGCUGGUUGAGAUGGCCCUAGCUGCCUCUUCGGACUGUGACAGACUCACCCAACAGCAGCACCCUGAACAUUCCACAGCCAGUGGAGCACAGGGGGUUAAGGAUUCAGAACCUUUCUCUCCAACAGAGGAGAAAAUAGUGCCACUUCCGGGGCACUUGAAGGACAGAUUGCUGGGGAUGGGACUGCAAUCGGGCCUCGGAGAGGGAGAAGUGAUUGCUGCCCUCAUUAAUAUUACUGCUGGCAAAGGCUGCGUGGGACUCAAUCAGGUGUGUGCCUUAGAGCUGGGAACAGCAAACAAAGCGCUUUGCCAAGUACUGGUGGUCACUACUGAAAGACCAAACAUGAGGAAGUGGUGUGGAAACGCCUGGAUUUAUUAUCAGAGCAAGAUGGAAACACUGGGGCUGGAGAGAUGCCUCAGAGGUUAAGAGCACCGGCUGCUCUUCCAGAGGUCCUGAGUUCAAUUCCCAGCAACCACAUGGUGGCUCACAACCAUCUGUUAUGAGAUCUGGUGCCCUCUUCUGGCCUGCAGGCAUAACAUACAUGUAGGCAGACCACUGUAUACAUA